rnacentral:rRNA from 1 species
AUUGAACGCUGGCGGCAGGCUUAACACAUGCAAGUCGAGCGGGGUGAUGGUGCUUGCACUAUCACUUAGCGGCGGACGGGUGAGUAAUGCUUAGGAAUCUGCCUAUUAGUGGGGGACAACAUCUCGAAAGGGAUGCUAAUACCGCAUACGUCCUACGGGAGAAAGCAGGGGAUCACUUGUGACCUUGCGCUAAUAGAUGAGCCUAAGUCGGAUUAGCUAGUUGGUGGGGUAAAGGCCUACCAAGGCGACGAUCUGUAGCGGGUCUGAGAGGAUGAUCCGCCACACUGGGACGGCGGCACGGCCCAGGCUGCUACGGGAGGCAGCAGUGGGGAAUAUUGGACAAUGGGGGGAACCCUGAUCCAGCCAUGCCGCGUGUGUGAAGAAGGCCUUAUGGGUGUAAAGCACUUUAAGCGAGGAGGAGGCUCUUUUGGUUAAUACCCAAGAUGAGUGGACGUUACUCGCAGAAUAAGCACCGGCUAACUCUGUGCCAGCCGCCGCGGUAA